rnacentral:rRNA from 1 species
UGGUUGUAAUUCUUUAUACGGACGAAUCUCCCGCUCGUGAGCGGGACUGACGGUACUGUACGAAUAAGCAACGGCUAACUCCGUGC